rnacentral:rRNA from 1 species
ACUAAAUAGAUACCCCGGUAGUCCACGCCGUAAACGAUGGAUACUAGCUGUUCGGAGCAAUCUGAGUGGCUAAAGCGAAAAAGUGAUAAGUAUCCCACCUGGGGAGUACGCACGCAAGUGUGAAACUCAAAGGAAUUGACGGGGGCCCGCACAAGCGGUGGAGCAUGUGGUUUAAUUCGAUGAUACGCGAGGAACCUUACCAGGGCUUAAAUGUAGAUUGACAGGACUGGAAACAGUUUUUUCUUCGGACAAUUUAACAAGGUGCUGCAUGGUUGUCGUCAGCUCGUGCCGUGGGGUGUCAGGUUAAGUCCUAUAACGAGCGCAACCCCUG